rnacentral:rRNA from 1 species
UACGUAGGGUGCAAGCGUUGUCCGGAAUUAUUGGGCGUAAAGAGCUCGUAGGCGGUCUGUCGCGUCGGCUGUGAAAACUCGGGGCUCAACCCCGAGCCUGCAGUCGAUACGGGCAGACUAGAGUGCGGUAGGGGAGACUGGAAUUCCUGGUGUAGCGGUGAAAUGCGCAGAUAUCAGGAGGAACACCGGUGGCGAAGGCGGGUUGCUGGGCUGACACUGACGCUGAGGCGCGAAAGCCAGGGGAGCGAACGGG